rnacentral:rRNA from 1 species
AACGAACGCUGGCGGCAGGCUUAACACAUGCAAGUCGAACGCCCCGCAAGGGGAGUGGCAGACGGGUGAGUAACGCGUGGGAAUCUACCCAACCCUACGGAAUAGCUCCGGGAAACUGGAAUUAAUACCGUAUACGCCCUUCGGGGGAAAGAUUUAUCGGGGAUGGAUGAGCCCGCGUUGGAUUAGCUAGUUGGUGGGGUAAAGGCCUACCAAGGCGACGAUCCAUAGCUGGUCUGAGAGGAUGACCAGCCACAUUGGGACUGAGACACGGCCCAAACUCCUACGGGAGGCAGCAGUGGGGAAUAUUGGACAAUGGGCGCAAGCCUGAUCCAGCCAUGCCGCGUGAGUGAUGAAGGUCUUAGGAUUGUAAAGCUCUUUCAGUGGGGACGAUAAUGACGGUACCCACAGAAGAAGCCCCGGCUAACUUCGUG